GGAGAGAUGGCCGAGCGGUCGAAGGCGAUGGUCUUGAAAACCAUUGUGGCGCAAGUCACCGUGGGUUCGAAUCCCACUCUCUCCG
rnacentral:tRNA from 1 species